rnacentral:rRNA from 1 species
GAUGAACGCUGGCGGCGUGCAUAACACAUUCAAGUCGAACGAGGUAGCAAUACCUAGUGGCGGACAGGUGAGUAACGCGUGAGCAACCUGCCCUUGUGUGGGGGAUACCGUCUGGAAACGGACGUUAAUACCGCAUAACAUAGCGGAAUCGCAUGGUUCUGCUAUCAAAGAUUUAUUGCGCAAGGAUGGGCUCGCGUUGGAUUAGAUAGUUGGUGAGGUAACGGCCCCACCAAGUCUGCGAUCCAUAGCCGGACUGAGAGGUUGAACGGCCACAUUGGAACUGAGAUACGGUCCAGACUCCUACGGGAGGCAGCAGUGGGGAAUAUUGGGCAAUGGGCGAAAGCCUGACCCAGCGACGCCGCGUGAAGGAAGAAGGUCUUCGGAUUGUAAACUUCUUUUAUCAGGGACGAAUACUGACGGUACCUGAUGAAUAAGCCACGGCUAACUACGUG